CUCUUGUGAUUCUUCUGUGAGCUGCAUAAUCUAUGAACGUGUUGGCACACAAAAGUGUGUGCUAAUUAAUAGAUUCAUUAUCACAAUGUGAUACACAUCACCAAAUUUUUACAUUGUCUUUGAUCCAACAGUCACUGGCAGCGUUACAAUGCACGGCAGACUAAGGACGGUGAAGUUCCCUGGAAGGAGGGCAAAGGAGAGGGUUUUGUCUCAAGCCAAAACACCAUCUCAGGGGGAGAUGUUCCAGCAACACAAACAUUUGGCUGGCAAGACAGUGGUGGACAGAUGGUAAAGAUGGGGUGCAGCCCAAAGCCCGACAGAGCCUGCCAGGCAUCGUAUCAGCCACCAUGAACACAAAGGUGCGUGAAGUCACCCUGUGGGGAAGAAACCGUUUCCCAAGAGAACUGCAAGACAAGCUGCUGGAUUUUUUUUUGUCUUCAAAAGCCACCAAACUAAGCUAGCAAAACAGAUGAGAGGAAAAGACAGAGUUUAAAUUUGCAGGGAGAUCCCUUGCAUC
rnacentral:lncRNA from 1 species